rnacentral:rRNA from 1 species
GAUUUGUCUGGUUAAUUCCGAUAACGAACGAGACCUUAACCUGCUAACUAGUUAUAAUUACCUCGUAAUUAUUAACUUCUUAGAGGGACUAUGUGAAACAACUACAUGGAAGUUUGAGGCAAUAACAGGUCUGUGAUGCCCUUAUAUGUCCUGGGCUGCACGCGUGCUACACUGAUACAUACAACAAGUGCCUAGCCAGUCAUGGUAUGGCAAUCUCGAAUAUGUAUCGUGAUGGGGAUAGAUCUUUGCAAUUAUAGAUCUUGAACGAGGAAUUCCUAGUAAGUGCAAGUCAUCAUCUUGCAUUGAUUAUGUCCCUGCCCUUUGUACACACCGCCCGUCGCUCCUACCGAUACCGGGUGAUCCGGUGAACCUUUUGGACCUUUACAGGAAAGAUAAGUAAACCAUAUCACCUAGAGGAAGGAGAAGUCGUAACAAGGUUUCCGUAGGUGAACCUGCRGAAGGAUCA